rnacentral:tRNA from 1 species
CGCGGGGUGGAGCAGUCUGGCAGCUCGCCUGGCUCAUAACCAGGAGAUCGCCGGUUCAAAUCCGGCCCCCGCAA